AGAGUUUUGAUCCUGGCUCAGGAUGAACGCUAGCUACAAGGCUUAACACAUGCAAGUCGAGGGGAAACGGGAGAAUAGCUUGCUAUUCUUUGUCGUCGACCGGCGCACGGGUGAGUAACGCGUAUCCAACCUUCCCAUAACUAAGGAAUACCCCGUAGAAAUGCGGCCUAAUCCCUUAUGGUCUCUUAUGCCUGUCAUGGGAAUAAGAGUAAAGAUUUAUCGGUUAUGGAUGGGGAUGCGUCUGAUUAGCUUGCUGGCGGGGUAACGGCCCACCAGGGCAUCGAUCAGUAGGGGUUCUGAGAGGAAGGUCCCCCACAUUGGAACUGAGACACGGUCCAAACUCCUACGGGAGGCAGCAGUGAGGAAUAUUGGUCAAUGGGCGAGAGCCUGAACCAGCCAAGUAGCGUGCAGGACGACGGCCCUAUGGGUUGUAAACUGCUUUUUAAGGGGAAUAAAGAGGGGCACGCGUGCCCUGUUGCAUGUAGCCUUGGAAUAAGGACCGGCUAAUUCCGUG
rnacentral:rRNA from 1 species